rnacentral:rRNA from 1 species
GACGAACGCUGGCGGCGUGCUUAACACAUGCAAGUCGAGCGGUAAGGCCCUUUCGGGGGUACACGAGCGGCGAACGGGUGAGUAACACGUGGGUGACCUGCCCUCAGCUCUGGGAUAGGCCUGGGAAACCGGGUCUAAUACCGGAUAUGACUCCAUGACGCAUGUUGUGGGGUGGAAAGCCUUGUGCGGCUGAGGAUGGGCCCGCGGCCUAUCAGCUUGUUGGUGGGGUGAUGGCCUACCAAGGCGACGACGGGUAGCCGGCCUGAGAGGGCGACCGGCCACACUGGGACUGAGACACGGCCCAGACUCCUACGGGAGGCAGCAGGUGGGGAAUCUUGCGCAAGUGGGCGAAAGCCUGACGCAGCGACGCCGCGUGAGGAU